rnacentral:rRNA from 1 species
UACGGGGGGGGCAAGCGUUGUUCGGAAUUACUGGGCGUAAAGGGUUCGUAGGUGGCUCGCUAAGCCAGACGUGAAAUCCCUCAGCUUAACUGGGGAACUGCGUCUGGGACUGGAGAGCUGGAGUGCAGGAGAGGAACGCGGAAUUCCAGGUGUAGCGGUGAAAUGCGUAGAUAUCUGGAGGAACACCGGUGGCGAAGGCGGCAUCCUGGACCGGCAUUGACGCUGAGGCGCGAAAGCCAGGGGAGCAAAUGGG